rnacentral:misc_RNA from 1 species
AACGCACAUUGCGCCCUUCGGUAUUCCGGGGGGCAUGCCUGUUCGAGCGUCAUUACACCCUUCAAGCGUAGCUUGGUCUUGGGCCUCGCCCCGCGGGCGUACCCGAAAAGCAUUGGCGGUCCGGGUGACUUCGAGCGUAGUAAAUUACCAUUUCGCUUUGGAAGAUCCCCUUGGUCCGGCCAGACAACCUUUUCAAUUCCAAUAAUUGACCUCGGAUCAGGUAGGGAUACCCGCUGAACUUAA